rnacentral:rRNA from 1 species
UGGGGAAUAUUGCACAAUGGGCGCAAGCCUGAUGCAGCCAUGCCGCGGGUAUGAAGAAGGCCUUCGGGUUGUAAAGUACUUUCAGCGGGGAGGAAGGUGUUGUGGUUAAUAACCACAGCAAUUGACGUUACCCGCAGAAGAAGCACCGGCUAACUCCGUGCCAGCAGCCGCGGUAAUACGGAGGGUGCAAGCGUUAAUCGGAAUUACUGGGCGUAAAGCGCACGCAGGCGGUCUGUCAAGUCGGAUGUGAAAGCCCCGGGCUCAACCUGGGAACUGCAUCCGAAACUGGCAGGCUUGAGUCUUGUAGAGGGGGGUAGAAUUCCAGGUGUAGCGGUGAAAUGCGUAGAGAUCUGGAGGAAUACCGGUGGCGAAGGCGGCCCCCUGGACAAAGACUGACGCUCAGGUGCGAAAGCGUGGGGAGCAAACA